GGCCGGGGGAAUUAGGCAUGCAGUCGAAUGAUGCUAUGGGGGUAACUCUGUAGCGGAAAUGGCGAAAGGGGCAGUAAUACAUGGAUAACCUACCCUGGGGAUGGGCACAGCCGGUCUAACGGCCGGGUAAUACCCAGAGAUUCGGCGAGGAGGCAUCUUUUUGCCGGGAAAUGAAUUUCGCUUCGGGAUGGGUCCAUGAGCUAUCAGCUAGUUGGUGGGGUAGCGGCCUACCAAGGCUAAGACGGCUAGCGGGUGUGAGAGCACGACCCGCGCCACUGGCACUGAGACACUGGCCAGACACCUACGGGUGGCUGCAGUCGAGGAUCUUCGUCAAUGGGCGAAAGCCUGAACGAGCGAUGCCGCGUGAGCGAUGAAGGCCUUCGGGUUGUAAAGCUCAAAAGUGAAGAGAAAGUGAAACUUGAUCGAUUCACAGUAAGCUCGGGCUAAGUUCGUGCCAGCAGCCGCGGUAAGACGAACCGAGCGAACGUUGUUCGGAAUCACUGGGCUUAAAGGGCGCGUAGGCGGGCAUUCAAGUCUGUGGUGAAAUCCUCCAGCUCAACUGGAGAACUGCCAUGGAUACUGGGUGUCUCGAGGGUGGUAGGGGUAUGCGGAACUAUCGGUGGAGCGGUGAAAUGCGUUGAUAUCGAUAGGAACUCCGGUGGCGAAGGCGGCAUACUGGACCACAUCUGACGCUGAGGCGCGAAAGCCAGGGGAGCGAACGGGAUUAGAUACCCCGGUAGUCCUGGCCCUAAACGAUGGGUACUAGCUAGUAGGGUUCACAUGACUUUACUGGCGAAGCAAAAGUGAUAAGUACCCCGCCUGGGGAGUAUGGUCGCAAGGCUGAAAC
rnacentral:rRNA from 1 species